rnacentral:lncRNA from 1 species
GCAGAUAUUAUUCUUCACCGAGGUUUUAUGCGAUUUUAAAGUCACGUUAAGGACCUAAAAUCAGUUAGAGUGUGACUUGGCGGUUUUUUCCUGAACGGUUUUGUUGCGACUUAAUGCAUUCCUAAUUGGGAUUUAAACAUACUUUCAUAAAUUAGCUGUGGGCUAACGGCGUUCGCUAGCAAGGUAACUAGUUAGCACGGCGUGCUAGCUAGACCACUAGCUAAUUCUUAGCUAUCUAGCUAACUGUUAGCUCAUUGCGUGGUAAAUAACAUGUUAUUUAUGGAGACUGUUAGCCUUUGAAACAGCUCCAGCGACCUUCCCCUCAGGUCGAAUGACGCAAAUUAAGCGUAAUUUUGUUUUGCUCUAUUGGCAGGCAAACUGAAAGCAGUUACAGCAUUAAUCUUUAAACUAGCGGCGUUAAUUCUAAAACUUUUGAGUCAUGUUGAAUAAAAUCUACGAAUGGAUAGAAACAAGCUUUGCCAGUUUUCGCAAUGGUGUGCCAGCAGCGGAGCCCUCGGAUGCACCCCAGCUACCGGGAGAUGGUCAAAGGAGAAGGAAAAGACCAAUAGAAUGCUUGGAAGACGGACAUAACCUGGACCAAGACGGCCAGCUGAUAAAGAAAUCUCGAAUGGGUAAUUGUAGAAUCACCCUUUACUUAAUAUUUUGCCAGUGAAUGUGCGCAUAUAAUUAAAUACUGAAUUGACAACUAACAGCCUUGUCUGUAUCAUAAUUGUUACUAAUUUUGCAGGAGAUCUGAUCGACACUGUUAAAACUGCAGCUGAAGGAGUAAGACUCAUGGGUCUAGCGUGGCUACAUGGAUGAGGGAACAAUGUGAGUCCUACUUUGAAAAAUAUAUUGCCUGCCUCCCCUGGUCCUCCACCUAGAUGAAUCCCAGCCUUCAACAUCAGCUGCAGUCUGGGCAGGGAGACCGGUUUGUAGUGAAUUUAUUGUACUUGAGUAAUUUUGUCAAAGAUGUUACCCUUAAAAAAUGGCAAUAAAUGUAUGUGUGGUUAAAGGUUAUGGAACGGAAUUCU